CCUUCGAUAGCUCAGUUGGAAGAGCGCAAGACUGUAAUGGUAAACGCCGAAAAGGCAAUCUUGAGGUCGCUGGAUCGAUGCCGGCUCGAAGGA